GUUCAGAGCCCUUCCCCAAUCUCCGUUUUUCCUCUUUGCUUAAAAGUGUUAAAUGCUAAUCAUUGGCUUGCUGGGAUAGACGCACUGCUCGUCCAAACCAAUUAUCAUCUUCUACCUCCUAGUAGUAGUACAAAAAUUAUAAGGAAAUUUACUUAGUUACCGACUGCUACUCACCCAAAUACCUACUUUAAAAGUAACUCUGUGCAUGCAGUUGGUAACUGCUUAGACAUUUUACUAGGAGGCAAUAAGAAGAUCGAAUAGCUAGUACGGGGCGGGGUGGGAGACUGGUGCAUGCAGUCGGCAAUGGAUUUAAUUUUGUUACUUUUUCUUCAAGGGGUUUUAAUUACUAGGAGGUGGUUGGUUCUAUCGAGCAGUGCAUUUGGAUUAGCACAUAUUACGCUGCUGCUCCACAUGACUAUAUGAAUUCGUCCAUCUGCAGUGUUGUAUGGAUUAGCAUAUUAGCUGCUGCUCGACAUGACUAUAUGAAUUCGUCCAUCUGCAGUGUUGUCUGAAUGUAAAUUUAGUGCCUAGUUCAGUUUGGAGUAUGUUAAUUUAGAUGAUCACAUGUUGAACUAGAGAAAUAGAAAUGACCAUCCCAAUUCUGAAUUCAUAAAAAGGAGUAGCUGCAGAAUAAAAAUGCUCAUCCCAACUCUGAAUUAAUAAAAUGAUAUCCUAUAUUAAUGUUUCUACCGAGUAAAUAUCACCAUUUGGCAUGAAAUGUUGCUACAGAGUGAAGAUGCAGAAUUUCUGUUUGUUCAGGCAGCUGCUUUAUUAUAUAAAAUGCACUAGAUACUUAUGAUUUCUUUUAUGAUCUUGUGGAUGGUCUAGAGCAAAAACAAAGUUGCAUAUGAUUUCUAGGUACUAGUAGUCUAAUUGUAUUCGAGAUGCGAUACACUGAAGGUUAAUUAUACAUAUCCACACAGCAAGUAUACAUCAUUGUACUAUACAUUUCACAUGUGUCCUAUCUUUGAAGCUCUACAAUAUUCAUGUGUAUACAAUAAUUUAUCGAAUGAGGCACUAUGAUUCUGAAUUUUUAGAUUGUUAGCUCUGGCUUCAUAAGCAAACUUAUGUGAAUAUACUUUGCAGAAUCAUUGUUCAGCCUCUUUGUUUAUGUGGGGUUCUUAUUCAUUUGAUUUCGUCCUCCUGGCAGGCAUCUUUCGUACAUUUAGCAACAAUGGUGAAUUCGAGUGGAUGAUGGAAGGCCUCAGUUUGGGGCCAAGAAAAGGCGUGGACGAGGCCAUUUCUGCAAGGCCGUCUGCAAAUUGCUGGAUGCAACAUCGAUGUAGCUCUGAUCCAGAACCUAGUUCUUGGAUGCAACACGCAUUGUCCUGCACUGAUCAGGAUCUAAUUUUGUUGAGGUGGCUGCUGUUGUGACCAUGAUCAGAAGAAGCCUGGAGAUGUGCACAAUAGUUUUAGUUGAUGUUGCCACCAUGUUUUGGUGCAUGUGUAUUUCUUUUUGAUUGUAUGCACACUUGAUGGAUCGUGCGGACGUGUAUGUGCUGUUGUGAGCUUCAUUGAGUGAUUUCUGGAUUUGAUCAUUUAAUUAUGAGAAUUAUUGAUUGUUUGCUGUUGAAA